UCUUCAUCCUUGCAGCUACUUAGUGUAUGCACUGGACAACAGAACAGAGAGAGAUGUGGGGAGAACAAAAGAAGGAGGGCCAUGAUUGAGCACAUACUUAUGGUUUUGUACCCAAAAUAGUGAGUGAAUCAGAAGAAGAAAAAACCCAUUGGUUUGAGGGGCAUUCUUGAAGUAUUGGAAAGUCUGGUUUGGCUGGGGCACCCUUAUGCUGAAGUGUGCAACAGGACAGGGCAACUCUUGCUGUCCCUGGAAAACACAGUCCCACACUCCACAACCUUCAAGGUUCCUGAGGAUUUUGUAUGUAUUUAGAAUAAAGGAAAAUUUUUGGGAAGAAGCAACAGAGAGUGCAAGCAUAAUUUUUGUUUCUUUUCUAUGGCUGUGGCUGUCCCUGUCAGCCUCCCAUCAGAAACUGAUUGGUAUUUCCACCUCUACUCAGCACUGGUACAGCCCAUCUGCAGCACUGUGUCCAGUUCUGGGCUCACCAGUACAAGCCUGACAAGAGAAUACCAGAGUCCAGUGAAGGACCACAAAGGAUCUUUAUGGAGCUUCAUUUUUAUAUGAUUUUACAGGGCUUAGAGUAAUAGGCCCUGAGUUUGCUUAAUGACAACAGGAACUAUAAUAAUCCAAAUAAUAGAGCAAAAUACAGAAGAAAGAUUCCAUGGUGCCUUAAUCUGAGAGACACUUCUUUUAACCCUUUGGUAUUUCCUGAAAAAAAAAUCUAGCAGCACCUAGGGAAUCAUUGUUAUAGCCCUGAGAUUUUGUCAGAAGAUGCUUGGAGAAUAUGAAAGCUUCAUUUGAGAUUCAGUUUUCAGUAUCAUUCUUUCUGUGGAGAAAAGGUGCAAAACUUCUGCCUAUUGCCUGCAUUACUCCAGUGCACUCCUGCUGAAGCCCUGCUCCAGAACUCUGCUGGAGGAGACAGAAGGCAUGUAUGAUCUACUGCAUUAUUUUGCUGAAACACACUUUUAUUCAAGAAAUGUUCACCUUGUGUUUACACAUCAGUAACAUUCUCGGUAAAUUGUUGGAAUUUUAUUUUUGCUAUUACUUGUUCCUGUUGGUACUCUAGUGUAGACAUAGGGGUCUUCAAACUGGAUGCCAACUGGUGCUUGUCUGUUCUCUAGCUUUGUACUUUGCUAAAAGUUGAAAAUGGUGUUGUUUCACACCAGACAUUAAUGAUGAGACAUGAUUUGUUGAUGUUGUAAUACUUUUAUGUAGCUAAGAUCUUGGACUGCAUAGUCAAAUCACCUGAAGAAAAAAGAUUUCUACUUUUUAUUACGGAAUAAUUUCUUUCCUGUGAUAUAUUACCUGAUAUACAGCUGUAAUGCAUUCACCUGACAGUUCUGAUAUGUAAUACAUUUUAAUAAAAUAUCUUUAACCAUCUUGAAAUUGCCAUAUAAAGUAUAUUAUACUGUGA